GCAUCGUACAAGAAACCGAAGACCUUUAUAUUUCGGAUUACGGAUCGGAGAGUCGUUUGGUGGUCGCGCGCGGAUUGGGUCGAGACCCGACGGCGUGCGCCGCGGGAGGCCGAUUGCACGUGACGACAAGCAAUCGAACGCUGUAAAAGGUACACACGAGAGCGGAUCGGCAGAGGAUCUCGUUAUGGGCUUAGCGCCCUAGUGCUAUUUGAUAGUUUACUUUCCUAUGUUGCAUUAGAGUUACCCUAUACAUGUAUUGAGAGUAGAUGAUGUAUAGGAUGUGAGGUAUUUUGAGAUAAAUGUAAACUAAUGUUUAUCUUUUGAAGAAUGUAAGCUUAUAUUCAUAGUUUGGAAAAGAAUGCAAGUUGUAAUUAAAUGUAUCGAGCUGAAUGGUUGUAAUAGAAUAGUUAAGUAUCUCUCUUUUGUUUCA